GGUAAGCUUGGGCCGCGGGGCGCGGUAAUACGGAGGGGUCAAGCGUUAAUCGGGGUUAGUGGGCGUAAAGCGUGCGUAGGCGGGUCAUGAAGUCGGUUGUGAAAUCCCUGGGCUUAACCUGGGAACUGCAGUCGAUACUGGUGAACUAGAGUGCGGUAGAGGGUGGCGGAACUCCGGGUGUAGCGGUGAAAUGCGUAGAUAUCCGGAAGAACACCGAUGGCGAAGGCAACCACCUGGGCCUGCACUGACGCUGAGGUACGAAAGCGUGGGGAGCAAACAGGAUUAGAUACCCCUGUAGUC
rnacentral:rRNA from 1 species